UACGUAGGGAGCAAGCGUUGUCCGGAAUCAUUGGGCGUAAAGCGCGCGUAGGCGGCCUCAUAAGUCCGUUGUGAAAGUCAAAGGCUCAACCUUUGAAAGCCGAUAGGAUACUGUGAGGCUAAGAGUCCGGAAGAGGCGAGUGGAAUUCCUGGUGUAGCGGUGAAAUGCGCAGAUAUCAGGAGGAACACCGAUGGCGAAGGCAGGUCUCUGGGCCACUACUGACGCUGAGAAGCGAAAGCUGGGGAGCGAACAGG
rnacentral:rRNA from 1 species